rnacentral:rRNA from 1 species
UACAGGGGGGGCAAGCGUUGUUCGGAAUUACUGGGCGUAAAGGGCUCGUAGGCGGCCAACUAAGUCACACGUGAAAUCCCCAGGCUUAACCUGGGAACUGCGCUUGUUACUGGCAGACUUGAGUGUGGCAGAGGGGGGUGGAAUUCCAGGUGUAGCAGUGAAAUGCGUAGAGAUCUGGAGGAACACCGAUGGCGAAGGCAGCCCCCUGGGUUAACACUGACGCUCAUGCACGAAAGCGUGGGGAGCAAACAGG